AUGUGAUCGACUCCUCUCGUUUCAAUUUUGCGGUAAGGUUCUUCUUCUUCGUCAGAGUUUUUUUUUCUCUUAUCUCUCAAAAAGGCGUUAACUUUCUAUAGAUUCAUGAACAGAGAGCCUCUCUGUAUCGUCUCUCGUCACUCUCAUGAAAUAUAGCCUUAGCACAACCCACAGAAGCAGCCCAACUCUCUCUCUCUCUGUGCUGUUUUCUUGCUUGUGAGUAACUUUUUUUGCUUUCCUCUGUUACAUUUUUAUGCAUUUUCUCCUUCAUUCUCUUGUGAAUUUUUGGUUUCUUGGACCUGAUGAGUGAACUCGCAUUAAAGUUUGAA